GACGUAGGGGGCCAGCGUUAUUCGGAAUUAUUGGGCGUAAAGGGCGCGUAGGCGGCCAUGCGUGUCUUCCGUGAAAUCCCUCGGCUUAACUGAGGACGUGCGGAAGAAACUGCAAGGCUUGAGUCCGGGAGAGGGGGGUGGAAUUCCCAGUGUAGCGGUGAAAUGCGUAGAUAUUGGGAGGAACACCGGUGGCGAAGGCGGCCCCCUGGACCGGUACUGACGCUGAGGCGCGAAAGCUAGGGGAGCAAACGGG
rnacentral:rRNA from 1 species